AGGUUGAUGAUGCAGCAUGGAGCAAGCAACACUUGUUGGUUAUGAUUACUUUUUUGACGAUAUAGCAUCAGAGACCUCGGUUCUCGAUAAUCUAUGAAAAAGCAAGAAGACAUUAAAAGUAACAGUAGUAUCUGUCUAGAUGUCCCGAAGGAGCUGCGCAGUUCUCCAUCGACCAUUCCAAACCGUUGAUUAUCUGUUUAUACGGUCCAUGGUACCACCAACUGCCAGCAACGUACAUCUACUGCAGAUUUUGGAGAUUGAUUUAUGGUGAUGUUUCACUUCUUCCAGAGCUUCAGUUCUUGCUUAGCAGAAUAAUUACAGCUGACAGUGAAUUUGGACGUUGGCAUUCAGAACUGGGUUGUUCCAUCCAAACUAUGACAAUGACGAAAGCUAGCAUCUAACUCGAAGGAGAGCUGCCCAGUUUUGCAUUAUCAACCAUUUCAAUGGUGUUCCCCUGCCUCUCGACCCUGAGGAGGAAGUUAGUAUGAUUCAAAAGGAAUACAUGCAGACUGCAGGCGUCCAGGGCGAGCCCUGCCACCUCCUCCACCAUGCCUUUCCAACCUUGGCCACCGCUCCUGCUCUGGCGCCUUGCCGCCUUCUCCUCUCCAUGGGUGGGCAGCAUCCAUUCACAAGCACAGGAAUCUUUUCAAGCUGCGUCGGUAGAAAAAACACCUGACCGAGCAGCAGAAUGGAGAGUUCAAUCAGAUAUUAUAUCAUCGAUGGAAUGAAAUGCCAAGGGCAAUUUACUCAGAAACGAGCAUCAGAAUGGAGAGUUAUGCACUUGCAACUUCGAAAACAAGUUGCCCCGCAGUCCAAUUUUCUUCAACUUCUGAAGAUCUCGCCUGAUAGUUAACUAGGAAAGAUCAAGUUCCCACGAACUACACCUGCAAAAUAAUUCAGAUUGUGAUAUGAGCUAUCUUUAGGGAUAUAUGUAUUGUCAGCACAGGAAACUCAGCAAACCUACGAACUAUCAUUUGCUUUAAAAUAAAGUAACGUGAUACAAAUAAAUUCUUAAUUGUACACAUGACCAUCAUUUUACCACCUAGACGAUAGGCUGGAAGUGGAGAAGUUUACCCCUAUGGGAUGUCAUGAGGUUGCAGCACUAAUGAAAGGUACCGUUGUUAAUAGCA